AAAACUGUAUUGAGAGACAAUGACAGGCAUUACAUAAUGAUCAAGGGAACCAUCCAACAAGAGGCUAUAAUACUUGUAAAUAGCUACGCACCCAAUGUAGGUGCACCUAAAUAUAUAAAGCAAUUAUUAACAGACAUAAAAACAGAAAU